ACCCCACCCCCGACCUCACUCCAGUAGAGUCACGCCUCUGAGCCGCCCCCUCUACGCCGCACUGAUUUUGCGCUUUGUCACCGCCCUGUGCAUUCCCUCCUGUUUCCUUUCUGUCUCCACUACACCAGCCUAUUUCUUCCUGAACCUUCCUCCUAGGUUCUGCUGAGAACUCGCUUCCCAGAACUCCGCAAGAAGUAACCACCUCAAAAAGUGCUCGGUCUCCUGGGGGCCACGGUGCAGGAUGGGAUGCCUCAGUUCCCUUGACUGUACACUGGGGGAGGGGGCUGGGGUACUGUUCCCUGUCUUCUUCGCUCCUGUGCUGAGGCCGUAUGUAGAGGCCAGAGGUGGAUGAGGUCAGCUGACAUGUGAUUCUGAUGAAGGACAAAGUACAGCUGGACAUCCACCCCUGACCUAAGAGCGGAGGAUCCGGAUCAGCAGCCGCCAGAGGCCUUCUGACCUCACCCUGUGGUACUUACCCAGGAGGGCAGCAAGUGGCCAUGAACCGCUGCUCUCGGCCAGCUCUACCUCCAGUGUCAGCUCCUGUCCCGACUUUUCACCCCAUCCAGAGUGUCUUCUCCCAAGUCUUCUAUUGUUUUCUCCUCUCCUUUGGGUCCCAGUAUCCUCAAAUACAUUUCCUCAAAACCCCACCUUGCCUGGUCUCCUCUUCUAUUUCUCUACGCAACACCCUUACCACCUCCCAACAUCACAUUGCAUAGCUGCAGAAGGGUUCAAGGCCUCACCAGGAACCAAAGCACCCAGCACCAUCAUUACUUUGGACUUGGCAGGCAUCAGAAUGGUGAGAAAGCAAACACCUGUUGUUUAAGCCAUGGUAUUUUGCCACGGCGAUGCUGUGUGUUCUGCAAGCUUGUCUUCUGCCAGCUGUAUUCCCAGUGUCCAAAAAUUCUGGCUACAUGAUGGAGAAUGGAGGAGAGAGGUCGGCCAAGGAAGAUUGCAUUGGGAGGUAUGGCACCAUGAGGUGUGGAAAUCACUCCAGAGCAGGAAAUGGGCAGCAUUGAUCCACUGUUUAAUCCUUAUCUAGAGAUUUGUGCUACUGUCCCCUGACACCCUCAGGACAGGGCCUGACUCUGACUCCUUCCAUGGUCCCAGAGUCACACACAGGAGCGACUCUGUAAAAAGGUGUGCAUCGAGAAAAUUAAUGGCCUUUGACCCCCAUCUGCUAAUGAGGACACAGCAUUAAGGUUGAAGUGACUGAUUGUGAAUCUGGAGAGCUGAGGUUUGGCUGUUGAGCCUGAGGGGAAGGGUAUGGCCACCAGACAGUGUGUGUGAGCUCUCAAAACCUGGCAGCAAUCUGCUUCUUUCUUCCAGGGAAGUCACACCACUGCCUACACAUCCCCACUGCCAGGCCAGGCUCUUGCCUGAAAUCCUUGCUGCUCUAACACCAUAAUCACCUUCAGGGCUCACAUCCCCCGGGGAAGCCUUCUGAAGAGUUUGGUCAAAGCACUGUGUCUUUAGCCACUACGCAAUCCCUUGCCCACGACCCCGCACACCUGCCUCCAAAGGACCAACAUCAAAUCAAUUCAUUCCAAUUUCUCUGGCAUCCAUUCCAGGACAGGUGCCAGAAUGUAUUUGUUGAAUACAUUUGUUGAAUACAGGACCGUUACUUGGGUUUUCUCAUCAGAAAUACUCAUUGUCCACAUGGGGACUCCUCCAAGUGGUAGGUAUAAGAUGUCUUGCACUGGACAAGCGUGCCACACUUUCCUGGCUUUUCUUAAUAUGGUCUAAGUGAUCAGCACCCAGAUCAAGAAACAGUUGAAAAGCAAGUUGAAUAUGAGUGUGGUUAGUUCAUGUCUUUCAAGUGGGGAGCAAGCUGGCUAGAUGGUGCAUACCUGUCAUCCAUGCACUCAAGAUAAGAGGGUUGUGGGCUGUCUGAGUUCAGUAUUCCGGACCCACAUGAUAGAUGGAGAGAAGCAGCUCUGACUAGUUUUCUUCUGACCUCCACAUGUGUGUUGUGGUGUGUAUGCCCACAUGCAUGAACAUAUAUAUGCAAAAAGAUUGGCUGGACUGUCAGCCUGGGCCAAUAAGACUUAAAAAAAAACUGUCAGAAAGACUUGAUAAUGAUAAAUGCCUUGUUAGUCCUAUGGGGCUCUGCUGGACUCCUAACCCUCUAUAGAACCAUAAGAUAAUAAAUGUGUCUUCUUAGUUGUGUUUAAUAUUAAUUCUUUGUAGCAGAAAAAAACAUAAGAUAUAAAUAACCUGAAUUCUUCUUUGUCUGGCCAGUCUGUUGCCUUUCUAUAGUUCUACUCUUCCAGAACACACCAAAGGGAACCCAAUGGCUCCCAACUGCAGCACCUCAUUCCAUGAAGUUCCUCGGGCCCUGGAACAGUGAAGCCAAGUUUAGUGCAACUGGAAACCAACCAUGAGUCACUCUUUAAUGGCAAUAGAAACCCUGAGUGACCUCUUGAUGACCUACACCACAUCAGAUCCUCUGCUGGACCCUUAAGCUGUAGAACCUAUCCUGUGGAAGAGGUCACACAUACUUUGCAAAGGACUUGAUGUAGCCACACCUUAAGCUUUAUUGAGAUAAUUGUUACCGGGAAACUUUCCCCCCAGAUUGUCCUAUCCUUAAACAUGCUUGCAAUAAAUAGCUCAGGGUCAGACUUUAGAAAUUUAAAACAA